UUUAAAAAAAAACAACAACAACACCCCUCCCUGAUUGAUGUCUGGGGUUUGGGGGAGCCUUACUUGCCCUUUUUCCUAGACGUUGCCCCAAACCCUUCUCUUUUGCUCUGGAUUCUCUCCCUUGGAGAAUUGUAAAAAAUUUCCUCUUGCCAGAGGAGUUUUAGAGAUCAGCUGGGGGGGGUAGGUUUGGGAUCGGGGGGAAGCUUUAUGGACCGCUUCCACCGAAUUUGCAAUAGAGAGCACCUUUUCCUGUGCGGAAAAAAUGUGAAACCUCAUUAAAGAGAAGGCACCUUUCAAUGGAUGUGUUCGUGAAACUUGCAGAGCCCCGAGAAUCCUUUUGAGAGCUUGCGGUCAGUCAUGACUAGAGGUGACAGACUAGAACGUCCCUACUCCGGAGUGGAAACUUCCUGGAGUGAUGACAGUGGCAAACAACUCCUUGAACAUCCUCAAAAAAACCUAUUUGGGCUACAUAUCAGUCUCCAGUGAUUUUAGGGUACAGGACAACCCAAUACCUUUGCUCUUUAGGGGGAAGCUUUAAUUUAGCUCCAUCAAUGUAGGGGCAACCCGAUAUAUUUGAGUGUGUGUCCCACUCCGUUUAUAUCUAGACUCCCAUCCUCUUCCCCGUUUUAGGUACAGAAGGUCUGUGACCAUGGUGGCUUAAUGUUUUUCGUUCUCUUGCAUGCUGUGGUAGGAAAUACAAGGUGUAAAUUGAAGACCUGAAUAGUCUUCUGAUGUUCACUUCACGUAGGGUUGAAUCACUCCGAAUCCGGAAGUGACACUUCCUCAUGUUACAUAAAGAGCGUACUGUGAAGCUGGAUUGGACACGGUGUCAUCAGAUGCGCAGUGGCGCUUCUGAAUUUGCUGGUAAAUGCUCUGUAAUAUGUGCAGAACAAUAUGUGCAGAGCAAGAUGGCGUCCUGUUUAAAAUAUUCAGCAUGUUUGCAUUAUUUUAGAAAUGUCCUUGGUGUCAUGUUUAUACUAAUUGCAUGGUUAAAUAUAGGCUAAAUAUGCCUAUGUCAUUUAAAAGAAACAGAAAAGAGAUAAUGAUAGCAGCUUUUGAUGCUUGCUUUGGUAUUGAGGCUUAAAGCAUGUUUAUGAAGUGGCUUUUGAGCUGUGGUCUAGAAGAGCGAUUAGGUUGCCAGCCUGAAUCUUUUAUUAACAAAUGGAAGAACAUGAACCCAGGUGGCUUGGCAGGUUUUGUAUCUAUGUGUAUGUUUUCAGAGUCUGGCCUUCCUCGAAUGGUUCUGACUAUUAUCAAGCUAGUGUGUUUCUUUUGAUAGGGUGGCGAGAAUACGCGACCAGUUGUCACACCAAGAAACACACAUUGUUGUGUAUGUGACAUCAUCUCCAUAUGUUUAUGGAUAGCCGUUGCUGAAUUGGCUUGAUGGAAGAUACAGUAUAGUGAAACCACAUCUGAAUGGCGUCGAGGUGAUGACUAGGCUGUUGUGUGCUUAUUUGUUCAGCAAGCCUUUCGCACCUUGUUUUGUAAGCAGGGAUAUGAGUGCUUAAUUGUGCUACAGUGGUGCCUCGCUAGACAGUUCCCCCGCAUGACAGUUUUUUCACUAGACAUUGACUUUUUGCGAUCGCUAUAGCGAUUCGCAAAACAGUGAUUCCUAUGGGGGAAUUUCGCUGGACAAUGUUUGGUCCCUGCUUCGCAAACCAAUUUUGGCUAGACAACGAUUUUGACAGCUCCCUCCGUGCUCGCAGAACGCGUGUUUUCGGGACCUAAGCUUCGCAAGACAGCUAUUUAAACAGCUGAUCGGCGGUUCACAAAGUGGCUUUCCUAUGACCGAUCUUCGCUAGACAACGAGGAUUCUUCCCCAUUGGAACGCAUUAAACAGGUU
rnacentral:lncRNA from 1 species